rnacentral:rRNA from 1 species
GGGUUGUGAGGUUAAGCGACUAAGCGUACACGGUGGAUGCCCUGGCAGUCAGAGGCGAUGAAGGACGUGCUAAUCUGCGAUAAGCGUCGGUAAGGUGAUAUGAACCGUUAUAACCGGCGAUUUCCGAAUGGGGAAACCCAGUGUGAUUCGUCACACUAUCAUUAACUGAAUCCAUAGGUUAAUGAGGCGAACCGGGGGAACUGAAACAUCUAAGUACCCCGAGGAAAAGAAAUCAACCGAGAUUCCCCCAGUAGCGGCGAGCGAACGGGGAGCAGCCCAGAGCCUGAAUCAGUGUGUGUGUUAGUGGAAGCGUCUGGAAAGGCGCGCGAUACAGGGUGACAGCCCCGUACACAAAAAUGCACAUGCUGUGAGCUCGAUGAGUAGGGCGGGACACGUGGUAUCCUGUCUGAAUAUGGGGGGACCAUCCUCCAAGGCUAAAUACUCCUGACUGACCGAUAGUGAACCAGUACCGUGAGGGAAAGGCGAAAAGAACCCCGGCGAGGGGAGUGAAAAAGAACCUGAAACCGUGUACGUACAAGCAGUGGGAGCACGCUUAGGCGUGUGACUGCGUACCUUUUGUAUAAUGGGUCAGCGACUUAUAUUCUGUAGCAAGGUUAACCGAAUAGGGGAGCCGAAGGGAAACCGAGUCUUAACUGGGCGUUAAGUUGCAGGGUAUAGACCCGAAACCCGGUGAUCUAGCCAUGGGCAGGUUGAAGGUUGGGUAACACUAACUGGAGGACCGAACCGACUAAUGUUGAAAAAUUAGCGGAUGACUUGUGGCUGGGGGUGAAAGGCCAAUCAAACCGGGAGAUAGCUGGUUCUCCCCGAAAGCUAUUUAGGUAGCGCCUCGUGAAUUCAUCUCCGGGGGUAGAGCACUGUUUCGGCAAGGGGGUCAUCCCGACUUACCAACCCGAUGCAAACUGCGAAUACCGGAGAAUGUUAUCACGGGAGACACACGGCGGGUGCUAACGUCCGUCGUGAAGAGGGAAACAACCCAGACCGCCAGCUAAGGUCCCAAAGUCAUGGUUAAGUGGGAAACGAUGUGGGAAGGCCCAGACAGCCAGGAUGUUGGCUUAGAAGCAGCCAUCAUUUAAAGAAAGCGUAAUAGCUCACUGGUCGAGUCGGCCUGCGCGGAAGAUGUAACGGGGCUAAACCAUGCACCGAAGCUGCGGCAGCGACGCUUAUGCGUUGUUGGGUAGGGGAGCGUUCUGUAAGCCUGUGAAGGUGUACUGUGAGGUAUGCUGGAGGUAUCAGAAGUGCGAAUGCUGACAUAAGUAACGAUAAAGCGGGUGAAAAGCCCGCUCGCCGGAAGACCAAGGGUUCCUGUCCAACGUUAAUCGGGGCAGGGUGAGUCGACCCCUAAGGCGAGGCCGAAAGGCGUAGUCGAUGGGAAACAGGUUAAUAUUCCUGUACUUGGUGUUACUGCGAAGGGGGGACGGAGAAGGCUAUGUUGGCCGGGCGACGGUUGUCCCGGUUUAAGCGUGUAGGCUGGUUUUCCAGGCAAAUCCGGAAAAUCAAGGCUGAGGCGUGAUGACGAGGCACUACGGUGCUGAAGCAACAAAUGCCCUGCUUCCAGGAAAAGCCUCUAAGCAUCAGGUAACAUCAAAUCGUACCCCAAACCGACACAGGUGGUCAGGUAGAGAAUACCAAGGCGCUUGAGAGAACUCGGGUGAAGGAACUAGGCAAAAUGGUGCCGUAACUUCGGGAGAAGGCACGCUGAUAUGUAGGUGAAGCGACUUGCUCGUGGAGCUGAAAUCAGUCGAAGAUACCAGCUGGCUGCAACUGUUUAUUAAAAACACAGCACUGUGCAAACACGAAAGUGGACGUAUACGGUGUGACGCCUGCCCGGUGCCGGAAGGUUAAUUGAUGGGGUUAGCGCAAGCGAAGCUCUUGAUCGAAGCCCCGGUAAACGGCGGCCGUAACUAUAACGGUCCUAAGGUAGCGAAAUUCCUUGUCGGGUAAGUUCCGACCUGCACGAAUGGCGUAAUGAUGGCCAGGCUGUCUCCACCCGAGACUCAGUGAAAUUGAACUCGCUGUGAAGAUGCAGUGUACCCGCGGCAAGACGGAAAGACCCCGUGAACCUUUACUAUAGCUUGACACUGAACAUUGAGCCUUGAUGUGUAGGAUAGGUGGGAGGCUUUGAAGUGUGGACGCCAGUCUGCAUGGAGCCGACCUUGAAAUACCACCCUUUAAUGUUUGAUGUUCUAACGUGGACCCGUAAUCCGGGUUGCGGACAGUGUCUGGUGGGUAGUUUGACUGGGGCGGUCUCCUCCUAAAGAGUAACGGAGGAGCACGAAGGUUGGCUAAUCCUGGUCGGACAUCAGGAGGUUAGUGCAAUGGCAUAAGCCAGCUUGACUGCGAGCGUGACGGCGCGAGCAGGUGCGAAAGCAGGUCAUAGUGAUCCGGUGGUUCUGAAUGGAAGGGCCAUCGCUCAACGGAUAAAAGGUACUCCGGGGAUAACAGGCUGAUACCGCCCAAGAGUUCAUAUCGACGGCGGUGUUUGGCACCUCGAUGUCGGCUCAUCACAUCCUGGGGCUGAAGUAGGUCCCAAGGGUAUGGCUGUUCGCCAUUUAAAGUGGUACGCGAGCUGGGUUUAGAACGUCGUGAGACAGUUCGGUCCCUAUCUGCCGUGGGCGCUGGAGAACUGAGGGGGGCUGCUCCUAGUACGAGAGGACCGGAGUGGACGCAUCACUGGUGUUCGGGUUGUCAUGCCAAUGGCACUGCCCGGUAGCUAAAUGCGGAAGAGAUAAGUGCUGAAAGCAUCUAAGCACGAAACUUGCCCCGAGAUGAGUUCUCCCUGACCCUUUAAGGGUCCUGAAGGAACGUUGAAGACGACGACGUUGAUAGGCCGGGUGUGUAAGCGCAGCGAUGCGUUGAGCUAACCGGUACUAAUGAACCGUGAGGCUUAACCUUACAACGCCGAAGGUGUUU